CUCAACAUGCUCUGCCUGUUGAAGAGACCUUUGACACACAGUAGAGGCAUAGUAAGUGCAUAUGUCCAUUGAGGGUUCCAUGAGGCAUAGCUCUGUUUAUAGCUAAAGUGGGGAGUCUAUCAGUAAAUAUUCAGGGAGAAAGAGUAUCACAUUGGAGAGCCACAUGUGCGCACAGGGGAAAAAUGAUUGGAAUCAAAUAAUGUUACCCUGGAAGAAACCUUGGGCAAAACUGACUCAUGAGAAAAUGGAUACCUGAUGUUACCAGGUGAUGCCAAAGCCCAGGAUCGUGUUGGCACAGCUACUGAAUUAUUUUUCUCCAUUAUUUCCCAUAUAGAACUUAAUAACAUCAAGCCAUGGAAUAAAUAAGAGAAUUCA
rnacentral:lncRNA from 1 species